rnacentral:tRNA from 1 species
GCCCUGGUGGUGUGGUGGUUAAGACCUUGGCUGCAAACUAAAAGGUUGGUGGUUUGAACCCACCCAGAGGCG